AACGGAUGGAAUUUAAAUUUUAGGUUUGGCGUGUUAGCUGGAAUAUAACUGGCACAAUUCUUGCAUCAUCUGGUGAUGAUGGUUGCGUUCGAUUGUGGAAAGCUUCAUUUGGAGAAAAAUGGAAAUGUCUUGCAACUUUAAAAGGUGAUGGCACCACUGAAGUAGCUGAAAAGCAAAUUAAUAAUGAAUCUGAAACUUUAUCAAAAAUGGAUACUUCAGGUAUUUCUGUUCCUACUGCUAGGUACUACAAACUUGGCCAAGUUAGUCAUCUAAAACAAGAGCCAUGGCAUUAAUUUAUAUUUGUAUGUAUUCCUAAACAAGAAUUGUAAUAAAUUUGUAAAGUUUUA